rnacentral:rRNA from 1 species
CCUACGGGAGGCUGCAGUGAGGAAUAUUGGUCAAUGGACGCAAGUCUGAAGCAGCCAUGCCGCGUGCAGGAAGACGGCUCUAUGAGUUGUAAACUGCUUUUGUACGGGGGUAAACGCAGAUACGCGUAUCUGUCUGAAAGUACCGUACGAAUAAGGAAAGGCAAACUCCAUGCCAGCAGCCGCGGUAAUACGGAGGAUUCAAGCGUUGUCCGGAUUUAUUGGGUUUAAAGGGUGCGUAGGCGGUCGGAUAAGUUAGAGGUGAAAUCCCGAGGCUCAACUUCGGAAUUGCCUCUGAUACUGUUCGGCUAGAGAGUAGUUGCGGUAGGCGGAAUGUAUGGUGUAGCGGUGAAAUGCUUAGAGAUCAUACAGAACACCGAUUGCGAAGGCAGCUCACCAAGCUACUUCUGACGUUGAGGCACGAAAGCGUGGGGAGCAAACAGGAUUAGAUACCCUUGUAGUC